CUGCCGGCGACCGGCGCACGGGUGAGUAACACGUAUGCAACCUGCCCUCCGCAGGGGGAUAACCCGGAGAAAUCCGGACUAAUACCGCGUGGUACAUCUGUGGGGCAUCCCACGGGUGUUAAAAGGAAGCGAUUCCGGCGGAGGAUGGGCAUGCGGCGCAUUAGCUAGUUGGCGGGGUAACGGCCCACCAAGGCGACGAUGCGUAGGGGUUCUGAGAGGAAGGUCCCCCACAUUGGUACUGAGACACGGACCAAACUCCUACGGGAGGCAGCAG
rnacentral:rRNA from 1 species